GCUUGUCUCAAAGAUUAAGCCAUGCAUGUGUUAGUAUAAACGCCUUUAUACUGUGAAACUGCGAACGGCUCAUUAUAUCAGUUAUAGUUUAUUUGAUACUUUUCGACUAUUGGAUAACCGUAGUAAUUCUAGAGCUAAUACAUGCGCCAAGUCCCGUCUUACGUCGGGAUGUAUUUAUUAGAUUGAAACCAAUGCGGGGCAACCCGGUAUUGUGGUGAAUCAUAAUAACUUUGCGGAUCGCAGACCUCGCGUCGGCGACGAAUCAUUCAAGUUUCUGCCCUAUCAGCUUUCGAUGGUAGUGUAUUGGACUACCAUGGCAUUCACGGGUAACGGAGGAUUAGGGUUCGAUUCCGGAGAGGGAGCCUGAGAAAUGGCUACCACAUCCAAGGAAGGCAGCAGG
rnacentral:rRNA from 1 species